rnacentral:rRNA from 1 species
UGCCAGCAGCCGCGGUAAUACGGAGGGUGCAAGCGUUGUUCGGAAUUAUUGGGCGUAAAGCGCGUGCAGGCGGUUCGUUAAGUCUGACGUGAAAUCUCCCGGCCCAACCGGGGAACUGCGUUCUAAACUGUCAGGCUUGAGUGAGAUAGGGGUGUGCGGAACUUCUAGUGGAGCGGUGAAAUGUGUUGAUAUUAGAAGGAACACCAGUAGCGAAGGCGGCACACUGGGUCUCAACUGACGCUCAUGCACGAAAGCUAGGGUAGCGAACGGGAUUAGAUA